ACCCUUCUGAAAAAGCACUCAUUGGGUCUGUGCCUGGUGGCCCCUUGAGGUGUCGUGGAAGGGCAGAGCAAAGCCAUCGCUUUUGGGUGAAGUGGCAGCUGGUUGGUGCUGUUGGCUUCAAUCAGUGGUGUGACAGCU